rnacentral:rRNA from 1 species
UGGUGAAUAUUGGACAAUGGGCGCAAGCCUGAUCCAGCCAUGCCGCGUGGGUGAAGAAGGCCCUAGGGUUGUAAACCCCUUUCAGCGGGGAAGAUAAUGACGGUACCCGCAGAAGAAGCCCCGGCUAACUCCGUGCCAGCAGCCGCGGUAAUACGGAGGGGGCUAGCGUUGUUCGGAAUUACUGGGCGUAAAGCGCGCGUAGGCGGCUUAGUAAGUCGGAUGUGAAAGCCCCGGGCUUAACCUGGGAAUUGCAUUCGAUACUGCUGAGCUAGAGUAUGGUAGAGGGAAGUGGAAUUUCCGGUGUAGCGGUGAAAUGCGUAGAUAUCGGAAGGAACACCAGUGGCGAAGGCGACUUCCUGGGCCAAUACUGACGCUGAGGUGCGAAAGCGUGGGGAGCAAACAGGAUUAGAUACCCCUGUAGUCC